rnacentral:rRNA from 1 species
CCUACGGGAGGCAGCAGUAGGGAAUAUUGCUCAAUGGGGGAAACCCUGAAGCAGCAACGCCGCGUGGAGGAUGAAGGUUUUCGGAUUGUAAACUCCUUUUGUUAGAGAAGAUAAGACGGUAUCUAACGAAUAAGCACCGGCUAACUCCGUGCAAGCAGCCGCGGUAAUCCGGAGGGAGCAGGCGUUACUCGGGAUCACUGGGCGUAAGGAGCGCUUAGGCGGGAUAGCAAGUCAGAUGUGAAAUCCUAUGGCUUAACAAUAGAACUGCAUUUGAAACUGUUAUUCUGGAGUAUGGGAGAGGUAGGUGGAAUUCUUGGUGUAGGGGUAAAAUCCGUAGAGAUCACGAGGAAUACUCAUUGCGAAGGCGACCUGCUAGAACAUAACUGACGCUGAUGCGCGAAAGCGUGGGGAGCAAACAGGAUUAGAUACCCUGGUAGUC